rnacentral:rRNA from 1 species
AUUGAACGCUGGCGGCAUGCCUAACACAUGCAAGUCGAACGGCAGCACAGCAGUAGCAAUACUGUGGGUGGCGAGUGGCGGACGGGUGAGGAAUGCGUCGGAACCUGCCCAGUUGUGGGGGAUAACUAGCCGAAAGGUUAGCUAAUACCGCAUGAGACCGAGAGGUGAAAGUGGGGGACUCGUAAGGGCCUCGCGCGAUUGGAUGAGCCGACGCCGGAUUAGCUUGUUGGUAGGGUAAAGGCCUACCAAGGCGACGAUCCGUAGCUGGUCUGGAGUGAUGAGCGGACGAACUGGAAACGAGGAACGGUCCAGACUCCUAGGGGAGGCAGCAGUGGGGAAUAUUGCGCAAUGGGGGAAACCCUGACGCAGCAACGCCGCGUGAGUGAUGAAGGCCUUCGGGUCGUAAAGCUCUUUUAGUGGGGAAGAAUCCCACCUGGACGAAUAAUCCGGGUGGAUGACGGUACCCACAGAAAAAGUUCCGGCUAACUACGUGCCAGCAGCCGCCGUAAAAC